UCGUGAGUAUGUCUACAAGUUGUUUUUUAUUAGACACAUAUGAAGCGCAAAUGAAGCCACUAUCAAGCUUUUCUUGGAUAAAACAUCUGCCAUUUCAAUGUGCUCAGUUCUAUCAUGUUGUUCAAAGAACUUAAAUCUGCAAAGUCUUCAUUGUGAGCUGUGUAAACUGGCUAAACACAAGCAUUUACCUUUUCCUAUGAGUAUUUGACUAUAGAAAAAAAAUGAUAAUAUUGAGUAGAAUUGAGGGAUGUAUUAUUUAUCACCGAAAGACGGAAACAACAAUGCACUGAAAAGGACAAACCUUUCUAACGCCCGAUAGCAAGCCUCCUUACAGAGAAGUAUAAACGCUAUUACUCACUCCUUCCACAACACUAUUAACAACAACCCCCUUUCCUCACACUCUCAUACUGCUUAAAUAAUGUGCUUCUACUCUCUCUCUAUAUAUAACCAAUUUUGCAAGCUCAACAUUCUCUCUUGCUACCUCUGAUCUUUUACCUUUUCUUUUGGAGACAAUCUACUCUUUGGGCUAUGUGGUUGCCUCUUGGACUAUCCUUUCUUCUGGCC
rnacentral:lncRNA from 1 species